UCCACGAUCAGCAGCUGCUGUGUACCUCGUACACCUCCUGGUCGAGGAUCCUGGUGCCAAACACCAGGAUGCCGCUGGUGUCGAGGAUGGCAUUGUGGGCUCGGGCCAGCGGGCGGGUCACCUUCUUCUUGCAAUCCACGAUCAUCGUCACGUUCCUCUUGUGGACGCUGAUCGCCACGCGGUGCC